rnacentral:rRNA from 1 species
UACGGAGGGUGCAAACGUUGCUCGGAAUCAUUGGGCGUAAAGCGCACGUAGGCGGCCUGUUAAGUCGGAUGUGAAAGCCCCGGGCUCAACCCGGGAAGUGCAUUCGAAACUGGCGGGCUUGAAUAUGGAAGAGGGUCGCGGAAUUCCCGGUGUAGAGGUGAAGUUCGUAGAUAUCGGGAGGAACACCAGUGGCGAAGGCGGCGACCUGGGCCAAUAUUGACGCUGAGGUGCGAAAGCGUGGGGAGCAAACAGG